CAAACACCUGUGAGCCAUCUGUAGGGGAGCGUAAGCUCCUCUACGUUACUACUACAUACCCCAAUCAAAUCAUAGAACGUGAUCGAGCUCGAACGCCUUUGAAAGCGUGAGAGUCAUAAUCUAAAUACAACUUUCAACAACGGAUCUCUUGGCUCUCGCAUCGAUGAAGAACGCAGCGAAAUGCGAUAAGUAAUGUGAAUUGCAGAAUUCAGUGAAUCAUCGAAUCUUUGAACGCACCUUGCGCCCCUUGGUAUUCCGAGGGGCAUGCCUGUUUGAGCGUCAUUAAAUUCUCAACCCUUCUGGCUUUCUCGUAAGGCCAGACGAGGCUUGGAUUUGAGGGUCUGCUGGCGAUGAGCCAGCUCCCUUUAAAGACAUUAGCGGGACGAUAAGGACUCCUUGCGAUCGACGUGAUAAUUAUCUGCGUCCAUAUCCGAGGUAUCUGAAGUCUGCUUCCAACCGUCUUCGGACAUUCAUCUUGACCAUUUUGACCUCAAAUCAGGUAGGACUACCCGCUGAACUUAAGCAUAUCAAUAAGCGGAGGA
rnacentral:rRNA from 1 species